AAAUCAGCAUCUUAUAGUGUUAUUUGUAUUACACAGUAUGCUCUCAGCACAUGUACAUCAUGCCCACUAACAUUCACAGAGGAGGAGGUGCCAGUGAUUCGCCAGUGGUGGUGCAUUCAACUGAUGGAGAGCUUUUACCUUGAAGGGUAUGACAGACUCUACAGAUAAAAUUUCAGUAACUCGGCUGAUACUAUACUAGAAAGGUGUUAUAACAAUAGAGUGUAUAUACAUUUACAUAUUUUACAAAGGCAUGGACAGAGGUUUGCACACUGGACCGAAGAAGCAUCCCAGCUCCUUCAGGGAACCCUUGUCUUUAGGGUGUCAAAAUCCACCACCACCAAACAGUCACCCAGCAGAAGAGUUGUGGUUGAAGAGGACACUGAUAAGGUGCAACAGCCCACCAUUGUGAGAGACAUUCAUACAGCUUGGUACUGGGUACAAAAUCACAAAGACUUAUUCUGUGGAGAGGUGACGGAGCCUGCUUUUCUGCAAAUGAACAGUGACGAUCAACAAAAUGCACCCAGAAAGGCCCU